UACGGAGGGUGCGAGCGUUGUCCGGAAUCAUUGGGCGUAAAGGGCGCGUAGGUGGCGCGGUAAGCGUGCGGUGAAAGCCUGGGGCUCAACCCCGGGUCGGCCGUGCGAACUGCUGGGCUUGAGCACUGUAGAGGCAGGCGGAAUUCCGGGUGUAGCGGUGGAAUGCGUAGAGAUCCGGAAGAACACCGGUGGCGAAGGCGGCCUGCUGGGCAGUUGCUGGACACUGAGGCGCGACAGCGUGGGAGCAACAGG
rnacentral:rRNA from 1 species